AUUGAACGCUGGCGGCAGGCUUAACACAUGCAAGUCGAGCGGGGUGAUGGUGCUUGCACUAUCACUUAGCGGCGGACGGGUGAGUAAUGCUUAGGAAUCUGCCUAUUAGUGGGGGACAACAUCUCGAAAGGGAUGCUAAUACCGCAUACGUCCUACGGGAGAAAGCAGGGGAUCACUUGUGACCUUGCGCUAAUAGAUGAGCCUAAGUCGGAUUAGCUAGUUGGUGGGGUAAAGGCCUACCAAGGCGACGAUCUGUAGCGGGUCUGAGAGGAUGAUCCGCCACACUGGGACUGAGACACGGCCCAGACGCCUGCGGGAGGCAGCAGUGGGGAAUAUUGGACAAUGGGGGGAACCCUGAUCCAGCCAUGCCGCGUGUGUGAAGAAGGCCUUAUGGUUGUAAAGCACUUUAAGCGAGGAGGAGGCUCUUUUGGUUAAUACCCAAGAUGAGUGGACGUUACUCGCAGAAUAAGCACCGGCUAACUCUGUGCCAGCAGCCGCCGCAG
rnacentral:rRNA from 1 species